rnacentral:rRNA from 1 species
CAGCCGCCGCGGUAAAACAGAGGGUGCAAGCGUUAAUCGGAAUUACUGGGCGUAAAGCGCGCGUAGGUGGUUCGCCAAGUUGGAUGUGAAAUCCCCGGGCUCAACCUGGGAACUGCAUCCAAAACUGGCGAGCUAGAGUAUGGUAGAGGGUGGUGGAAUUUCCUGUGUAGCGGUGAAAUGCGUAGAUAUAGGAAGGAACAUCAGUGGCGAGGGCGACUAUCUGGGCCAACACUGACACUGAGGCACGAAAGCGUGGGGAGCAAACAGGAUUAGAUACCCCCGUAGUCCCUGUCUCUUAUAC